rnacentral:rRNA from 1 species
GACGAACCGUGCGAACGUUAUUCGGAAUUAUUGGGCGUAAAGCGUCCGUAGGUGGCUAGUCAAGUCUGCGGUCAAAGACUGGGGCUUAACCCUGGAAAGGCCGUGGAAACUGACGAGCUAGAGUGCAGUAGGGGUAGAGGGAAUUCCCGGUGUAGCGGUGAAAUGCGUAGAGCUCGGGAAGAACAUCGGUGGCGAAAGCGCUCUACUGGACUGCAACUGACACUCAGGGACGAAAGCUAGGGGAGCGAAUGGG